rnacentral:misc_RNA from 1 species
GAAAUGCGAUACUUGGUGUGAAUUGCAGAAUCCCGUGAACCAUCGAGUCUUUGAACGCAAGUUGCGCCUGAAGCCACUAGGCCGAGGGCACGUCUGCCUGGGCGUCACGCAUCGCGUCUCCCCCCACCCACCUUCGGAUGGGAAAGUGGGAGGAUGAUGGCUUCCCAUGCCUCACCGGGCAUGGCUGGCCUAAAUAAGGAGCCUCGGGUUACGAUCUGCCGCGGCUAUAGGUGGUACCACAAGGCUUUGCCUCGAAGUAUCGUGUCGUGCAGUACGUAAUUCGCAUAGGCUUGCAGGACCCUAACUUUGCCCCUCAAGGGGACAAACCGUUGCGACCCCAGGUCAGGCGGGGUUACCCGCUGAGUUUAA